rnacentral:sRNA from 1 species
CAGCAGGCCAAGGGGGAGGUGCGAGUGUGGAGUUGGGACGGGUCUGGGCAGCUCUCGGUGGUUGGCACCGGUUAGCACACCCAUUCAAGCGGCAGAACGCACUUGUCUUAGCAGUUCUCGCUGACCGCGCUAGCUGGUGAGUGUCCCUUCUGUGUGUGGGUCCUAGAGCUCGCGGUCUGGUCUGGUCCCCAGACUGACGCCUGGUCGGUCUCCCUCUUGUCUUACAGCGGCUUCUACGCUCCGGCACUCUUGAGUUCAUCAGCAAACGCCCUGGCGUCUGUCCUCACCAUGCCUAGCCUUUGGGACCGCUUCUCGUCGUUGUCCACCUCCUCUUCGCCCUCGUCCUUGUCCCGAACUUCCACCCCAGAUCGGCCGCCGCGCUCAGCCUGGGGGUCGGCGGCCCGGGAGGAGGGGUUUGACCGUUCCACGAGCCUGGAGAGCUCGGACUGCGAGUCCCUGGACAGCAGCAACAGUGGCUUCGGGCCAGAGGAAGACACGGCUUACCUGGAUGGGGUGUCGUUGCCCGACUUCGAGCUGCUCAGUGACCCUGAGGAUGAACACCUGUGUGCCAACCUGAUGCAGCUGCUGCAGGAGAGCCUGGCCCAGGCGCGGCUGGGCUCUCGACGCCCUGCGCGCCUGCUGAUGCCUGGCCAGCUGGUAAGCCAGGUGGGCAAAGAACUAUUGCGCCUGGCCUACAGCGAGCCGUGCGGCCUGCGGGGGGCGCUGCUGGACGUCUGCGUGGAGCAGGG